CCUACGGGAGGCAGCAGUGGGGAAUAUUGCACAAUGGGGGAAACCCUGAUGCAGCGACGCCGCGUGCGUGAAGAAGUAUUUAGGUACGUAAAGCUCUAUCAGCAGGGAAGAAAAUGACGGUACCUGACUCAGAAGCCCAGUCUAACUACGUGCCAGCAGCCGCGGUAAUACGUAGGGGGCCAGCGUUAUCCGGAUUUACUGGGUGUAAAGGGAGCGUAGACGGCAGCGCAAGUCUGGAGUGAAAUCCCAUGGCUUAACCAUGGAACUGCUUUGGCAACUGUGCAGCUAGAGUGCAGGAGAGGUAAGCGGAAUUUCUGGUGUAGCGGUGAAAUGCGUAGAUAUUAUGAGGAACACCAGUGGCGAAGGCAGCUUACUGGACUGUAUCUGACGUUGAGGCUCGAAAGCGUGGGGAGCAAACAGGAUUAGAUACCCGGGUAGUC
rnacentral:rRNA from 1 species